rnacentral:lncRNA from 1 species
AGAGAAGGAAUAGUAAGAUCAUUGCCAAACAAGCAACUCAAGCACAAGAUUUACCCGAAAGUUCAUUUAUUCAUUACUUAGAUGUUACUGUACCAGCAACUUCGUAAACCAAACACGUAACAGUGACUCGAUAGUUCAUUAAACCAACAUAGGACUGAUGCGAACAAUGAAACAGUUCAAAUGAAACGGACACAACGAACGACCAAGCAUAAACCAGCAGGUCCAACGCCAGGGCAAUUACUGACCACCACGGAGGCGGAGCACAAGGUGGAGGGUGGACUCCUUCUGAAUGUUGUAGUCCGCAAGGGUGCGGCCAUCCUCCAGCUGCUUGCCGGCGAAGAUCAGGCGCUGCUGGUCCGGGGGAAUGCCCUCCUUGUCCUGGAUCUUGGCCUUGACAUUGUCAAUGGUGUCAGACGACUCCACCUCAAGUGUGAUGGUCUUGCCGGUGAGGGUCUUCACGAAGAUCUGCAUGCCACCACGCAGACGCAGGACAAGGUGGAGGGUGGACUCCUUCUGGAUGUUGUAGUCCGCGAGGGUGCGNNN